GAGGGCGUGGCGGAAUGGCAGACGCAGGAGACUUAAAAUCUCUCGGGCACCAGCCCAUGCGGGUUCGAGUCCCGCCGCCCUCACCA
rnacentral:tRNA from 1 species